rnacentral:rRNA from 1 species
GACGAACGCUGGCGGCGUGCCUAAUACAUGCGAGUAGAACGCUGAAGGAGGAGCUUGCUCUUCUGGAUGAGUUGCGAACGGGUGAGUAACGCGUAGGUAACCUGCCUGGUAGCGGGGGAUAACUAUUGGAAACGAUAGCUAAUACCGCAUAAUAGUAGAUGUUGCAUGACAUUUGCUUAAAAGGUGCAAUUGCAUCACUACCAGAUGGACCUGCGUUGUAUUAGCUAGUUGGUGGGGUAACGGCUCACCAAGGCGACGAUACAUAGCCGACCUGAGAGGGUGAUCGGCCACACUGGGACUGAGACACGGCCCAGACUCCUACGGGAGGCAGCAGUAGGGAAUCUUCGGCAAUGGACGGAAGUCUGACCGAGCAACGCCGCGUGAGUGAAGAAGGUUUUCGGAUCGUAAAGCUCUGUUGUAAGAGAAGAACGAGUGUGAGAGUGGAAAGUUCACACUGUGACGGUAUCUUACCAGAAAGGGACGGCUAACUACGU